UCGGCAUUUUCAGGCAGAACGAUUUC
rnacentral:misc_RNA from 1 species